GGGUCGCUGUGAGUCAGAAUCUACUGGAUGGCAAUGAGUUGGUUUUUUGGUAAUGACAUCAGUGGUAUGUUGUUGUGUGCUGGCGAGUCAGUUCCGAUUCAUAAUAACCCUAUAAGACAGAGUAGAAGUGCCCCAAAGGGUUUCCUAGGCUGUAAUCCUUACAGGAGCAGAUCCCAGAACUGCUGAACCGCUGGGCGGGUUCUAACUGCAGACCUUUGGUUAGCAGCCAAGUGCUUAACCAUUGCACCACCAGGGCUCCUGGCAGUGGUAUAUUAACUAAUGUGAAUUUUUAUAGUAUACAUAGUGAAGUGUGUAACUGUUCGGAGACUUUGCAUAGCUCAGUGAACCAAUAUUUUCCAAAUGACCCAUGUGUAAUGUUACAAAAUUAUGUUUGGGUAAAAAAAAAAUCCAAAGGGCAAGAUAGCCUCAUGGAUUUUAAUGUAACAAUAUAAAAUUUUCAUUGAUAAAGCUUCAGAUUUUACAUUGUACCUAUGCUGUAAAAAACUUUUGUGGAGUUCUGAUGUAGCAUCAAGGAAAAAUGUCCACAAUCAUCUGAAAAAGAUGUUCUUCCUAUACUUCAGUUGACACAGUGUAUCAAAACAGAAGGCAGAUGCAGAUAGGAGGACCCAGCUGGCUGUCUGCUCUCAGCCCGCCGCCAUCAGAGACCGUCUCCAAAACGUGAGAACAGUGCCACUGUAAUAGAUAUAACCCGCAUGACAAAAGAAAAAUUAGCUCCUUGGGGUCUUCAGUAAUGUUUAAGAGUGCGAUGGUGUCCUCAAACCACAAAGUUUGGAAACCACAGCCCUGGACAGACACGUUGGCUGAGAGGAGAGUCUUGGCCGCAGGGAGCCCGGCCUGCUGUUGCAUGAAGUGGGCUCCAGUAGAAUUUCCAGCGACCUUGGAAGUCAUCACUGUCGGCGCACGUGUAGAUUUGUUCUUUGAAAAGGGUGCGUUGUCGACACCAAGGGGGGCAGCCUUGAUCCUGAACAAGGAGAGAGUCUCCGUCCUGGGGGCAUAGAGCGCAAAGGAGAAGGUUUGUAAAUAUAUUUUAAAACAGCACAAGGAUUUUUUAAAAAUCAGAUUCUUGUGACACAUGUAGAUAUGCUCCGUCUUACAUUUCUUCUUUGUUCUGUGAAACCCUGGCUUGUAUUUUCAAAGGCUCAGAGAGGAUCACCUUAGAAAGCUAGGUCUUGAUCAGCUAUUUGAAACGCACGAACACCUUUUAUGUUGUUUUUGGAUGGAGUGAGCUUAUGCUGAUGGAUCUCGCACUGUCUCCGACCUAACACACCAAAAGGAAUAGAUAUGUAACAGUUCCUGUCUGCACCAGUGUUUAAAACAUACCGACAGCGCCCCACCUCAGGAGUGGGGCACGGGCGGCAGAUGUGAGAAUCUUGGGGGUUUUUCUACUUACCCAAAGCCCUCUGCUACCCCAGAGAUCUGGUUGGCCUCCAGAGGAGGAACACCCCUCUACCACUGACACUCUCCCGCCCUCCGUAGAAAAGACUAAAUGUUCACUGGUGACCCUGUGCCGUGGGGAGAUUCUCCCACUGAUGAUAUAUCUGGGUGACGUCUGGUUGAGUGUUGCCAGGACAUGCCUUCCCCACACUCAGAAACCAAACAGAAAAAGAGGCCAGACCUGUUGCUGUUGAGUCGAUUCCGACUCAUCAUGA